GUAGGUGGCAAGCGUUGUCCGGAAUUAUUGGGCGUAAAGCGCGCGCAGGCGGUCCUUUAAGUCUGAUGUGAAAGCCCACGGCUCAACCGUGGAGGGUCAUUGGAAACUGGGGGACUUGAGUACAGAAGAGGAAAGCGGAAUUCCAAGUGUAGCGGAGAAAUGCGUAGAGAUUUGGAGGAACACCAGUGGCGAAGGCGGCUUUCUGGUCUGUAACUGACGCUGAGGCGCGAAAGCGUGGGGAGCAAACAGGGAUUAGAUACCCUGGUAGUCCACGCCGUAAACGAUGAGUGCUAAGUGUUAGGGGGUUUCCCGCCCCUUAGUGCUGCAGCUAACGCAUUAAGCACUCCGCCUGGGGAGUACGGCCGCAAGGCUG
rnacentral:rRNA from 1 species